ACAGUUAUUUUAAUUUACUAUAUAUAAACUACUCAAAUUUAUAGAAUUAAGAACAUACGUUGGCCAUGGUGACAUGCUCAAUACGGAGUAGCUGCAACGACAGUCGCGGACAAUCAGCGGUAUCGAGCGGAGAGUCUCAGUGAGAGGCCGGACUGCACCGACUCUUGCACAAAUAUUGAGUGCCUAUAUUGCUCGAUAUGACAAGGCGAGUUAUUGGCGCCUUUAUAUAACCAAUGGAGCUUGACGAGGAUCACCACCUCCACAUGAAUAUGUGGCUACAACAAUAACAAAAACAUAUCAGGAAGAAAAAAAUGCCAAAAUCGAACAUACGUAAAACGGAUAUUUUUCGUCAGACCUCGUAUGCUUAUUAAGCUUCCCUUUAAAAGCAUAUGGAGCGGGUGAAAAAUUUCGUAAUUCAAUAGUCAUCGUAUUCCAAAUCCUUGCAACCCGAACUACAAAACAUCGUUCCGCAACACUUUCAGAUAUCCGCGUAAUCGGCAAAUACCGAAGACAGCUGUUCCUCGAUGAGUCACUAUUCGCCUUGGCAAACCAAAGUUUUGUGUCAGCUGGUAAAGCGCGUCCAGCACUGGAUGCGUCUUCGUUGAUCGAACAGGAAUAAUCGCAAAGUAACGUGCAUCAACAAUCUUCAAUUUCCACGUCGACUUUUGAUGAUAGGACCCAAGUGAUCCAUAUGAAUCACUUCAAAAGAUUUCCAUGGGAUAUCCAUCCCAUAAAGCUGGCAUUUAUUCUUUCUCGGUUCUCAGAUAAAACAACAUUCGACACACGAUUCAAUGUCCCUUAUUCGUCUUAACCAUAAAUGUUGCACUAUCUUCUAAAUGGUUGUCAAACUUCAUCAUGGCGUUGUCGAACAAUUCUCCAUCGCAAACCAUUUAGAAUGACCAACAGAUCAUUUUGUUGAAGCCACAUUGCAUGUGAAGGUAGCAAUCCUCGUCAAACACCUAAAGAUCAGUUAGCUCGUUCCGGUCCAUAGAAUCGAUAGCUGCGGUAACGUAAUGGCCAUAGGUAAUUUAAAGGCGCCAAAAACUCGCCUUGUCAUAUUGAGCAUUAUAGGCACUCAGUAUUUCAGCAAGAACCGGUGCCGCCCAGCCUGAGCUUUCCCAGACGAUGGGAAGAGUUUAAAUCAUAUUCGAGCUGCUUUAACAACUAACGCGACACACGUGAAUCCACCGGUGGUUUUCAUACUCGAAAUAUCAGAGCAAUCAGUGUAAACAGUAAAAUGUUGUGAUCACACUUCAACUAGGGCAAGAACCUCCAAUUCAUAUGCAUGGCAUUUUCUCUCCGAAUCACUGCAUUAUCGUCUAAAAUAGGCAAUUGGUCUUCUCGACCCGUCAUCUUCAACCUGUAUGAGAAUUGCGGAAAAAUCCACAACAAGGCUUGAAAAAUAAAUUUUGCGUGAAUCACUGUACAAAAAUGGAAUAAGUUGUUACUUUGAAAACGGUCUCAAACGACAGUUUAUGGCGUCUAGUUUCUAAUCCAACAACGCCUUUAUUCCGAACAAACGUCAAACUAUAGAAAUUUUGAAAAAAACUAGAAAAAAAAAAUCCGCAAAAAGACUGGAAAAAUCGAUUUGCGUGGACCACUGUGCAAAAAUGGUAAAGGGUUGAUACGUUGAAACCGGUCUCAAACGACGACUUAUGAGGUCUGAUUUCUAAUGCAAAUAGGUAUAUAUACCAAAUAAUCGUCAAACUAUCGAAUUUUUGGGAAAAACGUGAAAAAAUGCGCCACAAGACUUGAAAGAUCAAUUUUGCGUGAACCAAUAAUGGAAAAAGUUUAUACGAAGAAACCGGUCUCAAAAGACAGCUUAUGAAGUCUAGUUUCUAAUCCAUAAAGGCCUACAUUACAUAAUCGAAAACCGCAUUUUACGUGGACCACUGUGCGAAAAUGGAAUCACUUGCCUUGAUGAGAUCGGCCUCAUACGACAGCUUAUAAAGCCUAGCAUCUAAUCUAUAUACGAAUUUAUUCCACAAACUCGUCUAAAUAUUGAAAUUUUGCCAAAAAAUCAUCGCUAACAUCAUCGAAAACCGCACUGUGAAAAAAUGAAAACACUUGUUUCGAUGAGACCGGACUCAUACGACAUCUUAUAAAUCUUAGCCUCUAUUCUAUAUACGAAUUUAUUCCAGAAAAUUGUCUAAAUAUCGAAAUUUUGCCAAAAACUCGAAAAAAAUUAGCCAACAUAAUUGAAAA